UCACAAAAAAAGGUGUUUUUGAGGCCCCAGAGCUGUCCCGGCCUUGGAGGGACCCCCGAGGGCCCCCCCGGGCUGGGAGAGGCUGGGGCAGGAACCGUGCUGGGGAGGGGGGGCGCCCGAGGGGAGAACAACAAUUAGGCAAAGAUAUCGAAGGAUUGAAGGCUGUUAUCCCCUUAUGUAACCCUGGAUACUCCGCAAAACUAAUCGAGGAUAAGAGUGUUAUGAGAGGUGUUGGUUAAAAAACUCAACCGAAAGAUUAAAUACCCCCCAGGUGCUGGGAAGAAAGAAAAUACCUGAAUUAAAGUGGCUGGUGUGGAGUGGUGGAUGCUCAGGACAUCAAUUUGCCCUUUCCACCUCGUGUAUAAACUGUGGAAGGAGUUUUUUAACCGUUUUUAUAUUUAACUGCGAGCUAAAGAUGGUUUUUUUUCUCCCCAAGUGCACGUAAACAUCACUAAAACAUAUUUGUGGCUGCAAACCUUCCUUCUGCACCACCUUCUUGGGCAGAAAGCCUUUCUAAUACGGAUUAUUCAUCACAAGUUUCAAGCUCAUUAAACAACAAAAAAAAAA